rnacentral:rRNA from 1 species
GGGCUCCUUCGGGAGCACCGGCGGACUGCUCAGCAACACGUGGACAACCUACCCUCGGGUGGGGGAUAACCUCGGGAAACUGAGGCUAAUACCCCAUAGGCCUCGGAUACUGGAAGGUUCCGAGACCGAAAGCUCCGGCGCCCGAGGAUGGGUCUGCGGCCUAUCAGGUAGUUGGUGGUGUAAAGGACCACCAAGCCUACGACGGGUACGGGCCCUGAGAGGGGGAGCCCGGAGAUGGACUCUGAGACACGAGUCCAGGCCCUACGGGGCGCAGCAGGCGCGAAACCUUCGCAAUGCGCGAAAGCGCGACGAGGGGAGCCCGAGUGCCCUUCCUUUCGGGAGGGCUUUUCUGGAGCCUAAAAAGCUCCAGGAAUAAGGGCUGGGCAA